AGGACGAAAACUCUUUUAGUGGGGGAGAGUUGUAACACCCCGUUAAUUCUAGUGUAUUAAUUUAAUUAUUUUAUUAAUUAAAUUAUUAGAAUUAAUAAUCUGUGGGAAUUAUUUGGAAAAUAAUAAAAAUAUGGUGUUGGGCUGAGUGUGAUAGUUAGUAGAAAGGGGGUGUUAACUAAGCAAGCCCAUUAAGAAUGUUUUAUUUUAUUUUUCAUAAAAUAAAGGAAAUUGGGAAAAAGAGAAGCAGAAGCAGUAGAAGCAGAUUUUGGGACUGAAGAACACGUGAAAGUGAGAAGAGCCAAAGGGGGAGAAGAACUUCGAAGAUCCGACUCUAAGAUUAAGGAUGUAGCGGCGUGUGAUUGGGUGAAGAUAGCUUAUAAGCUAGCCCGUAGUUCGUGUCGAGUCAUGCUCUGAUUGUAACACUGGGAUCGAUUAGUCUUAGCGUUACUUGAGAUACUAUGUUGUUAUUUUGUUUAUGGAUUAUGUAUUGAUGAGCUGUUUGGAUAUGCUCCUAACAUUGUUUGAAAUAAGUUUCCGCUGUGAUGAACACAUGUUGAAGUUUGGUUAAUUUUAAUAAAAGCAUGACAAUCGACUUUGAUGUUUUAUUUA